AGUCCAGAAGCAGAAGAGAAGGAUAAGAAUGCAGCCUGUAACAGUUGGAUAGAUGUAAUAUCAGCUCUACAGAAUAGCAACAAGUCAUCAGCAAAGCACAUGUGAGAGCAUUUGAGCUUCCUGCAUCUUGGAUGGAAAUUAAAAUUGUCAAAUGGUAUUAUUCUUAGUAUAUUACACAUUUAUACCAUAAUUUCUGCUGAAUGAUGAUAAUCUCAUAAUUUUGAAAAGUCAUAUACAAAUAUAAAAAAAAAAUAAUAAUAAUAAUAAUAACAACAACACGGUAACUCUCGAUAAUUAUAAUUGAUUACCGAUUUUGUAAAAAGUAUAUCAAUAUUAAUAUUUAGGAAUGCCUUAUUUCUCUAAAAAGAAUAAAAAUAAAAAUAAAAGUUGAAAAAAUGGUAAAGUAUAUGGGAUAGUAGAGAGAUAUAUUUAGCACUUUCCAACAAUCAAAACUAUGAGAGAAGGCCAAAAAAGACGCCCAAAUUUCAGUGUGCAGUGUAAUAAUACUGUAGGGAAGCUAAUACGACUUUUUCAGGAGGAGUAAAUUGGAAAAGAACCUUGAUGUGCUUUGGACUAUCACCACCCUUUCCUUCAACAAUUAAGAUUAUGAGAUCAAAUCUUUUUCCUUGCACAAAUCCAUCACUGUGAGCUCCCUCUGUAUGCACAGAAUUAACAAGAACAAAG
rnacentral:lncRNA from 1 species